AUGAUGAACCGAACAACUAAGUUUGUAUUGGAAGUGUAGAAGUAAAAGUUAUUUGAGAGAAUUUAAAGAACUUGAAUGCACGUAUAUUUUGAAAUGGAGGUUGUAUACACCUACACAGAGACAUCAAUCGUGUAUGAAUUCUUUGCUCCUUAGGCAUUCUGAGGUACACGACAUCGCAUUAGCAAUUUAGCAUUCGUUCUUCGACGCUGCUGGACAGAGUUAUACUAUCAUAUCAUAAUCAUAUUCAGGUUAACAUAAUUACUGACAUUUGCUAAACAUAUAUUUCACGAAAAAAAAAACAAAGGACAGGAUGCUAGCAGUAAGCUAGGUUGUACCGUUAUACGUGCAAAAAAAUCUUUUUAUUAGGUUGACAUGUAAAGCAUUAUAUCGUCUUGUGCAAUGUCUACACGACCACACCCAACAUUAUCUUUAAUUUACACUGCGG
rnacentral:lncRNA from 1 species